GGGGCUGACUGGCUUUGACAGCGUGUAGAAGCGAUCAGUAAGCAUGCAGAGCUUUGAUGUUCAAGCUCUAUAAUCGCAAGAGCAUCGAACUAUAAUUGGCGAAAAUAACAACUACGCUCUCGCUGCGUAAUCUGAAGUAUAGUAGGAUUCCUUAAUUCGCCUCAAAGUGAGGUGAACGAGACAUCUCCCCUUUGCCUGGUUCCGAGACGUUAGGACAAGGAGAUGCAGAGAAAUUCGGAAAUGGGAAUAGUCAUGUCUUGAGGCUGUUCCGAAAUUUAAAGACUAAGGAUGCCAUUGGUGGUCGUGAGCCUGUGACAUCUCGAAAACCAAUUCAAUGACUAAGCAUGUAGAAAGCUCAUUGAUUCCGCGUUUGGACGAGGGUUCAAUCCCCUCCAGCUCCACUA
rnacentral:tmRNA from 1 species